rnacentral:rRNA from 1 species
CCUACGGGUGGCUGCAGUGGGGAAUAUUGGACAAUGGGCGAAAGCCUGAUCCAGCCAUGCCGCGUGUGUGAAGAAGGCCUUCGGGUUGUAAAGCACUUUCAGUGGGGAAGAAAGCCUUGGGGCUAAUACCCUCGAGGAAGGACAUCACCCACAGAAGAAGCACCGGCUAACUCCGUGCCAGCAGCCGCGGUAAUACGGAGGGUGCGAGCGUUAAUCGGAAUUACUGGGCGUAAAGCGCGCGUAGGCGGUCUGAUAAGCCGGUUGUGAAAGCCCCGGGCUCAACCUGGGAACGGCAUCCGGAACUGUCAGGCUAGAGUGCAGGAGAGGAAGGUAGAAUUCCCGGUGUAGCGGUGAAAUGCGUAGAGAUCGGGAGGAAUACCAGUGGCGAAGGCGGCCUUCUGGACUGACACUGACGCUGAGGUGCGAAAGCGUGGGUAGCAAACAGGAGUAGAUACCCGAGUAGUC